rnacentral:lncRNA from 1 species
CACAUAGAUUAUCUAUGAUAGAUAUACGCUAUAUCUAAUUGUAUAGCAAAAGCUAUGAACCUAAAAAAGUUAAAAUAACCUAUAAUUUAUGUGGAGGGAGUACAGUAGAAAACAAGCUCUAAAGACUAUCUUUAGAGUUUAGAUGACAAAUUAACUAGUGCUCAAUUCAAACUACCAACUAUUCUCCCUAGUUACGAAGAACUUAAUCUUCUAUGCAUCCUUUGAUUGUCAUUUUUUAAAAAAAAAUCAUAUCUAUAAACGCAACAAAAUGACAUGAUGUUUAAUUUAUGCUAAAUCCUUUGCCACCUGUGUAAUGGAUCGUUUUCGGGAACGCCAAAAACAAAAACAAGAUUCUUAUAAAAUGAACAUGGGCCGAAACUGACAAAUGAAGCAAACAAAAGGAACCUUUGGUCCACCAACACAAAAUAUAUAAAAGGAUAAAAGAAACAACGAUAUUCAAGACGACAUCC